UACAGAGGAUGCAAGCGUUAUCCGGAAUGAUUGGGCGUAAAGCGUCUGUAGGUGGCUUUUUAAGUCCGCCGUCAAAUCCCAGGGCUCAACUCUGGACAGGCGGUGGAAACUACCAAGCUGGAGUACGGUAGGGGCAGAGGGAAUUUCCGGUGGAGCGGUGAAAUGCGCAGAUAUCAGGAGGAACACCGGUGGCGAAGGCGGGUCUCUGGGCCGAAAUUGACGCUGAGGAGCGAAAGCGUGGGGAGCAAACAGG
rnacentral:rRNA from 1 species